UUGUUGGUACGACCUGUAAUUCGUCCGUCCAGGGAACUAACUGUCUGUGUUUUAUCGCGUUAUGAAGCCUCAGGAGCAUAACGCGAUUAGUUCAGAUUCCUAAAAGAACGAAAGGUCCCAAACUGCUGGAUGUGGCUUUAAACCCUGAAACGAAGCUACACAGAGCAGGUGGGCCAGCAGUGAGUGUGAAGAGAGACUUUUCUAAACUCUGACAUGGACUCUGAGAACAGUCAGCACACACAGUCCUCUCACUGUUCCAUCCACCAAGCUUUACCUUCAGACGUUCAGAAAGUGAUUGUUGGUGAAGAGGAGCAGCAGGAGUGUAGCUCCAGUGUGGACCAGCAGGAGCCAGAGCCCCCCCCACACAUUAAAGAGGAACAGGAGGAACUGUGGAGCAGUCAGGAG